AAAUAGAUACCCGGGUAGUCCACGCCGUAAACGGUGGGCACUAGAUGUGGGGCUCUUUCCAUGAGUUCCGCGUCGCAGCUAACGCAUUAAGUGCCCCGCCUGGGGAGUACGGCCGCAAGGCUAAAACUCAAAGGAAUUGACGGGGGCCCGCACAAGCGGCGGAGCAUGCGGAUUAAUUCGAUGCAACGCGAAGAACCUUACCAAGGCUUGACAUAUACGGUCUAUCCCUAGAGAUAGGGAGUGCUUCGGCGUCGUAUACAGGUGGUGCAUGGUUGUCGUCAGCUCGUGUCGUGAGAUGUUGGGUUAAGUCCCGCAACGAGCGCAACCCUCGUUCUAUGUUGCCAGCACGUAAUGGUGGGACUCAUAGGAGACUGCCGGGGUCAACUCGGAGGAAGGUGGGGAUGACGUCAAAUCAUCAUGCCCCUUAUGUCUUGGGCUUCACGCAUGCUACAAUGGCCGGUACAAAGGGCUGCAAUCCGUAAGGUGGAGCGAAUCCCAAAAAGCCGGUCUCAGUUCGGAUUGAGGUCUGCUAAC
rnacentral:rRNA from 1 species